rnacentral:SRP_RNA from 1 species
GCUGGGCAUGGUGGUGGGUGCCUGUAAUCCCAGCUACUUGGGAGGCUGAGGCAGGAGAAUUGCUUGAACCUGGGAGGUGGAGGCUGCAGUGAGUGGAGAUUGCACCACUGCACUCUAGCCUGGAUUACAGAGCAAGACUCUGACUCAA